rnacentral:lncRNA from 1 species
CCAGUCGGCAUCGAUGUAGUGCAGUGUUAAUGACAUGUAAGGCUCCAGUUGUUGUCGCGAAAUAGUGCACCUGUUUCAGGAUCAGCUCCUAUGCUAUUCUUGCACACGGCAUUUUCCAGAGUGUGAACCAUCUUCUUGAACCCACUUUGUUCAACUGAUGAAUUUAGGGACAUGUCUUUUGCUAUGUGGUACGUCAUGGCAUCUGUUAUUUCAUUCCAUAGUCUGUUUCUUGAGGUUCCUGAACGCACCCUGUCUGGUUGCCGGGCGACGAAGCUAGGCGGGAGAUCUCUCGAUUACCCGCACCUGCAUCUCAUCAGCUAUCUGCACACCUGGUCCUGAUCAUCACCUCUCCACUUCAUAAGCUCUGACCUGACAUCCAUUCCCUGCCGGAUCGUUAGCAAUGAACAUCAUUCUUCCGGAACAUUCACCCCACCCCUGCCUGGUCGUCGGUGGCUUCUGUGACAUCAUUGGAUCUGCCUAUUCACUCUCACCAACUCACCUCCGCUGCCCGCUCCGUCUCCUGGAUUAUUCUGCUUUCACAUUUGAGUCUGUAAAUAAAUACUCACCUUCG